UUCCAUCGCGACCCCAGGUCAGGCGGGAUUACCCGCUGAGUUUAA
rnacentral:rRNA from 1 species